rnacentral:rRNA from 1 species
GUGUCAGCCGCCGCGGUAAUACGGAGGGUGCAAGCGUUAUCCGGAUUUACUGGGUUUAAAGGGUGCGUAGGCGGGUUGGUAAGUCAGUGGUGAAAGCCCCGAGCCUAACUCGGGAACUGCCAUUGAUACUAUCAAUCUUGAAUUCAGUUGAGGUGGGCGGAAUGUGUCGUGUAGCGGUGAAAUGCUUAGAUAUGACACAGAACACCAAUUGCGAAGGCAGCUCGCUAAACUGACAUUGACGCUGAGGCACGAAAGCGUGGGGAUCAAACAGGAUUAGAUACCCCGGUAGUCC